rnacentral:rRNA from 1 species
AUACGAAGGGGGCUAGCGUUGUUCGGAAUUACUGGGCGUAAAGCGCGCGUAGGCGGACUGAUCAGUUGGGGGUGAAAUCCCAGGGCUUAACCCUGGAACUGCCUCCAAUACUGUCAGUCUUGAGUUCGGGAGAGGUGAGUGGAAUUCCUAGUGUAGAGGUGAAAUUCGGAGAUAUUAGGAAGAACACCAGUGGCGAAGGCGGCUCACUGGCCCGAUACUGACGCUGAGGCGCGAAAGCGUGGGGAGCAAACAGGAUUAGAAACCCUAGUAGUCC